GAACGUGAGGGCGAUCUGGCUGCGACAUCUGCACUCCAUUGAUCGCCAGAGUUGAUGUGGCUGGUCUGCCUGGUUAGGCGGGUGUCCCCUUCCUCCCUCACUGCUCAAUGUGCAUCCCUUACGAGCUGUGCACUUGGUGGAAGAAGAUGACCAUCCCCAAUAGAGGAGGACAAUUCUUCGGUCAAGGGUAUAUGAGUAGCUGCGCUCCUCUGCUAGAACCUCCAAGACUUCAAGAAUAAAUGGAACAGAUGUCCAAUUUGAUGUUAAUAUUUAAAUUUGAGUUUUAAAUGAAAUUAUUGAUCU
rnacentral:snRNA from 1 species